UUCGUAGGCGGUGUGGCAAGUCGGGAGUGAAAUCUCUGGGCUCAACUCAGAGACUGCUUCCGAAACUGCCGUGCUUGAGUGUGGGAGAGGCGCGUGGAAUUGCAGGUGUAGCGGUGAAAUGCGUAGAUAUCUGCAGGAACACCCGUGGCGAAAGCGGCGCGCUGGACCACUACUGACGCUGAGGAACGAAAGCUAGGGGAGCAAACA
rnacentral:rRNA from 1 species